rfam:Triticum aestivum genome assembly, contig: Triticum_aestivum_CS42_TGACv1_scaffold_466840_5DS
GGAUGCGAUCAUACCAGCACUAAAGCACCGGAUCCCAUCAGAACUCCGUAGUUAAGCGUGCUUGGGCGAUAGUAGUACUAGGAUGGGUGACCUCUUGUUAAGUCCUCGUGUUGCAUUCC